rnacentral:rRNA from 1 species
GAUGAACGCUAGCGGCAGGCCUAAUACAUGCAAGUCGAACGAGAUCUUCGGAUCUAGUGGCGCACGGGUGCGUAACGCGUAUGCAACUUACCUCUUACAGGGGAAUAACGCCGGGAAACUGGUGCUAAUACCGCAUAAUAAAUAGAAAGGCAUCUUUUUAUUUUAAAAGAAUUUCGGUAGGAGAUGGGCAUGCGUGUCAUUAGUUAGUUGGUGAGGUAAUGGCUCACCAAGACUACGAUGACUAGGGGUUCUGAGAGGAAGAUCCCCCACACUGGUACUGAGAUACGGACCAGACUCCUACGGGAGGCAGCAGUAAGGAAUAUUGGGCAAUGGACGAGAGUCUGACCCAGCCAUGCCGCGUGCAGGAUGACGCUCCUAGUGGGUGUAAACUGCUUUUAUCAGGGAAGAAAAAGCCUCUGCGGGGGCAACUGACGGUACCUGAUGAAUAAGGACCGGCUAACUACG